GAUGAACGCUGGCGGCAUGCCUAAUACAUGCAAGUCGAGCGAACAGACGAGGAGCUUGCUCCUCUGACGUUAGCGGCGGACGGGUGAGUAACACGUGGAUAACCUACCUAUAAGACUGGGAUAACUUCGGGAAACCGGAGCUAAUACCGGAUAAUAUAUUGAACCGCAUGGUUCAAUAGUGAAAGACGGUUUUGCUGUCACUUAUAGAUGGAUCCGCGCCGCAUUAGCUAGUUGGUAAGGUAACGGCUUACCAAGGCAACGAUGCGUAGCCGACCUGAGAGGGUGAUCGGCCACACUGGAACUGAGACACGGUCCAGACUCCUACGGGAGGCAGCAGUAGGGAAUCUUCCGCAAUGGGCGAAAGCCUGACGGAGCAACGCCGCGUGAGUGAUGAAGGUCUUCGGAUCGUAAAACUCUGUUAUUAGGGAAGAACAAAUGUGUAUGUAACUAUGCACGUCUUGACGGUACCUAAUCAGAAAGCCACGGCUAACUACGUG
rnacentral:rRNA from 1 species